AAAAAAAAAAUAUGCAAAGGGGUGAAACCGUGAAAGAGAGAAAAACAUAGUAAAGGAGUCCUCCGUAGGAUUCGAACCUGCGUCUGAGAGUGAUGCUAGAUUCUCUGUAGUCUAUACACAGAGAUCGUGCUUUGCAUAUUGCAUUCCCCGCCAGCCCCGACCAGUACUCAGUGCGCACUAAUUUUCUCUCUCCUCAAACUAAACCCAGAUCCAAUUCUCAGAUACUUCUCUUCAAUCUCAUCGUCUUUCUCUUCACCAACGCCGGUAUUUUCUACGAGUUAAAUUUUUUAUGGCAAGCCAAGAGAGAUGGUGUAUGGUUACGGGAGGAAGAGGGUUUGCAGCAAGGCAUUUGGUGGAAAUGCUGAUUCGUUAUGAAAUGUUCUGCGUCAGAAUAGCUGAUUUGGGUCCUUCAAUUAAGCUUGAUCCAUAUGAGGAGGAGGGAACCCUUGGCAAAGCUUUGAAAUCUGGCCGUGCUCAAUAUGUAUCUGCUGACCUCAGAGACAAGGCUCGAGUACUUAAAGCCUGUCAAGGAGCUGAGAUUGUUUUUCAUAUGGCUGCUCCAGAUUCAUCUAUCAACAACUACAAUCUCCAUCGUGCUGUAAACGUUGAAGGGACAAAGAAUGUGAUUGAGGCAUGUGUUGAGUUGCAAGUAAAGAGAUUAAUCUACACUAGCUCUGCUAGUGUAGUCUUUGAUGGGGUCCAUGGAAUCUUCAAUGGGGAUGAAUCUCUAUCUUAUCCAGUGAAGCACAAUGAUUUUUAUUCAGCCACCAAAGCCGAAGGAGAAGCUUUGGUCUUGAAGGCAAAUGGUGAAAAGGGGCUUCUCACAUGCUCCAUACGUCCAAGCGGUAUCUUUGGCCCUGGUGACAAGUUACUAGUUCCGUCUUUAGUUGAUGCUGCAAGGGCUGGAAAGUCUAAGUUUAUCAUAGGAGAUGGCAAGAAUAUGUAUGAUUUCACUUAUGUUGAAAAUGUUGCUCAUGCCCACAUAUGUGCUGAACGAGCUCUAGCAUCUAAAGGGACAGUUUCAGAGAAAGCUUCAGGGCAGGCAUAUUUUGUUACAAAUAUGGAACCAAUCAAAUUUUGGGAAUUUAUGUCACUCAUACUUGAGGGUCUAGGCUAUGAAAGGCCAAGAAUAAAGAUUCCUACAUUUGUUAUGAUGCCAAUUGCGCAUUUGGUAGAGUUUAUAUAUAGACUCUUUGCUCCUUACGGAAUGAAAGUUCCACAGCUGACACCUUCAAGAAUCAGACUCCUAUCUAGUGACAGAACUUUUAAUUCUUCUAAAGCAAAGGAUCGGCUUGGCUACACACCCAUUGUGUCACUUCAGGAGGGCCUUGAGAGAACAAUCGAGUCCUACUCACAUUUGAGGGCUGAACACCAGCCAAAAAGAGAUGGACCAUCUAAAGUGCAUAAAUAUCUUGGAGGUGGAAGAGUUGCUGAUAUACUCCUGUGGAAGGACAAAAAGCUAAGCCUAGUCACUAUGCUAAUAUUCGUUGCAUUUUAUUACAACUUCAUUGCAUCUGGAUACACUAUUGUUGCAACAAUUUCCAAGCUCAUUUUGUUGGCAGCAGUUUUCCUCUACAUUCAUGCCAAUAUGCCUGAAAAAAUAUUUGGAUGUACUGUUGAGAAAGUUCCUGUAUCAGCUUUCCACUGCUCUGAGGAGAAAUCACAAAGAGCUGCUGUUUCAGUUGUCUCUCAGUGGAAUACUGCAGUUGGCAUAUUAAAAUCACUUUGCAGGGGCAGUGACUGGAUGUUGUUUCUCAAGGUUGUCAUGACGCUUCUGAUUGUCAGUUUGUUGGGAGUCUUCUCUUUUCAGCGGUUAUAUUUGGCUGGAGUGCUAGUUAUCUUUGUAGCGUUCUUCAUCUACGAGAAGAAAGAGGAAGAAAUUGAUCACCUAGUUUCAAGGAUUACCAGAUUUGGUAGCAAGUUGAAGUCCGACACAAAGAAAAAGGAUCUAUAGGUCAUGGAUCGUGAAGGGCCUCUGUGCUCUGGCCCCUUUUCUUCAACUUUAGCCUUCAGUUUGGUGCAGGAAACAAGAAAGCCUAUUUUUGACAUUUGAGGAUUUAUACAGAAUCACCUUGAAAGUUUUAUCUAUUGAAUAGUGUUUUGUCAACUUGUAUGUUAUAACUUUCAAAUGUAUUCCACCGAGCUUGUGUAAAUAAAAAUAUUUCUACCUCCUGUCAGUCUGUCACAGUGUAGCAGGCUAGCAGCAUUAGGGUAAAUGAGUUCUGAAUUUACCCGGUAACAGAUGAAAAAAGUAUGUUAUUGUGUCAUGAGUAUUUAUUAUGACUACUUCCUCCGUUCCAUAAUAAGUGAAACAUAGGGAUUGGGCACAAGAUUUAAUAAACAUCACUUUCAAAAGCCAAAAAGUCAUAAAAUACCCUUUCUAUUAUCAAAAGGAGGAGAGAGAAAAGCAAACCACACUAGUUUGUGAUGGGUAUUCUUGUCAUUUUAUAACUUUCUUUUUUCCAUUUAAGGUAUGUUUCACUUAUUUUGAAACGUUCUAAAAUAGUAAGUGUUUCACUUAUUAUGGAACGGAUGAAGUAUAUGUUUUGUUAGAGAUAUCAUAUUGUACUUGAAUAAGAUUGUUUCUCUAGGGAGAUGGAUAAGAUUAUAAGAUAAGGUACUAUUAUUUGUUUUA